rnacentral:lncRNA from 10 species
UUGGCCUCGCAGGAGCGGCUCUCUAUCCUGUGGGGAGCUUCGGCCAGUGGGCCUCGUGAGCUGGGGUCCCGCCUGGGGAAUCCGCAUGGCACCGGUGGUCUGGGGGAGAGGCUGGGCCUGGCGCGGGACGAGGCGAAGCGCCGGUGGCCGACGGCUUCUGAGGAAUUAUCUUUUACUUGGCGCCACACGGGGCGGGGCCUCCUGCUAUGCUGUGGAGCGCAGUGUCUUCCAUCGUUGCCUCACAGACCCGCUGCUCCGGGAAGUCGCCACACAUUCUCAGGGAACACCCACAUCUGUCGCCUGCGCCCUCCGCCGCUCAGCUGUUUGCUUUUGUUUACGCAUUCCGGAGACCUGACCCACCGGAGCACUGGGCUGAGCACAGGAGAAGGGGCUUUGGAGCGCUCUUUGUACUCAACUCCAAGAGCGAGUGGGAAACUCAGGACUGGGUUGGGUAGAUCCCUGCGUCUCUCCCUAGCCUUCGUCCUCUUCCCCCGUUUUUCCACUUUAUGAAAGUAUUGCCUAGAGAUGAGGGCUGUCCAACUCAACACUUCCAACUUCAAGUUCCUACUUCACCUCUAACUCCCUAGAGUUAGAAAACAACGUACAGCUUAGAGGUUCCUUUCCCUUUUUUUCUUGAGAAACUUUAUUCAGCUUUAUCUCAAGACAUCACCGCUUCCCUCUCCUGUCAACCUUAAAUAGUGAGGUUCUGGAAAUAUGAUUAAGGAUAGAGUUUAUUCCAGCGUAAGGCUUGAGGGUAGCCACCCAGGAGACACCAGCUCCAAAUGGGGUUAGCAUUCCAAAGUGAAGAAGUUAGGGUUUCGCCUAGGUGGCCAGAGACAAAUUUUAACAGGAUUUCAUUUCCCCUAAGAGACCAGUGCAUACUUACAGCUAUUUGGUAGGUUACAGAUUACUACAUUCCAAGAAAAAGUAUUUUGUUACUCCAUGAGGGGGGGUAGUGAUCUCAGGGGGUUGUAUCUCUGGUAUGGUUUGGUCCUCCUAUUUUAAUUAUUUAUAGAAACAAAAGGCAGACGUUGCAGAUGCCUGCUGCUUGACUCAGGCUGUAGCCACAUUCCUCCCAAGGCUCGGAAUAAAGUUCCAACAGCUUUAAGUUUGAAUUAUUUAACUUCCAAUAACUAUAAAGUCAUUUUGUUUACUAAUGUGCUAAAUAAAGAUAUGGGCUCUAGGCCAGGUGCAGUGGCCCAGGCCUGUAAUCCCAGCACUUUCUGGAGGCCAAGGCAGGUGGAUCACCUGAGGUCAGGAGUUCGAGACCAGCCUGGCCAACAUGGUGAAACCCCGUCUCUACUAAAAAUACAAAAAUUAGCCGGGCAUGGUGGCAGGCACCUGUCAUUCCAGCUAGUUGGGAGGCUGGGGCAGGAGAAUCGCUUGAACCCGGGAGGCGGAGGUUGCAGUGAGCCAAAAUGGCACCACUGCAUUCCAGAAAAAAAAAAAAGCUAUGAGCUCUAUAUACUGCACAUUGCAGUACAUCCAGGUCCUAGGCUUUUAUUCAGUAAAUUACAGAAAAUAUUAAAGAUAUAAAGCAGAAAGUAAGGCAAUAUUAGGCCUUAGUCAAUCUCAGAUAGCUUCACCAAUUCAGCUCCUUAAAAGGUUGCUUAUGAAGUGUGAAUUGUAGUGGUAGCUACUGUUUCAUGGUGGUAAAUAUUCGUUUUGACUUUAUGUACAUUUUCUAUUAAACAUUGGAGUCAUCCUGAUAGACAUCUUUGUAACUUCCUGUCAAAACAACAUGUGGGACAGGCGUGGUGGCUCAUGUGUGUAAUUCCAGCACUUUGGGAGGCCAAAGUGGAAGAACUGCUUGAGCCCGGGAAUUUGAGAGCAGUCUGGGCCACAAAGUGAGAACCCAGCUCUACAAAAAAUAAAAUAAUUAGCCGGAGUGGUGGCUCACACCUGUAGUCCCAGCUACUUGGAAGACUGAGGCAGGAAGAUUGCUUGAGCCCAGGAAAUCAGGGCCACAGUGAGUUAUGAUCACACCACUGCACUCCAGCCUGGGCAGCUGAGUGAGACCCUGUCUCAAAAACAAACAAAAAAACCCAACGUAUUAUGAAUUAUUUUUCCAUAGCAGUAAAUGUACUAUAUUUCUAUUAAAUUAUUGUCUUUAA